rnacentral:rRNA from 1 species
CGGGUGAGUAAUGCUUGGGAAUCUAGCUUAUGGAGGGGGAUAACUACGGGAAACUGUAGCUAAUACCGCGUAGUAUCGGAAGAUGAAAGUGUGGGACCUUCGGGCCACAUGCCAUAGGAUGAGCCCAAGUGGGAUUAGGUAGUUGGCGAGGUAAAGGCUCACCAAGCCGACGAUCUCUAGCUGGUCUGAGAGGAUGACCAGCCACACUGGGACUGAGACACGGCCCAG